rnacentral:lncRNA from 1 species
AAAAAAAUAAAAAUAAAAACAUUGAGAAACCAUGGUCUUUCCCAAGAUAUGUAAUAACUGAGUAUAUAUGUGUUUGGUUGUAAGUAAAUCUGCAUAAAAGAAAAAAAAUUAUUUCAAAAAUAUAAAAAUAAGCAUUUCAAAUUUAUAAAUCUAUUAAAAAUUAUAGCAAAAUUGAUUUUUAAGAAGUAUAAGUUUUUCAUGCAAUUUUUACACCUG